rnacentral:rRNA from 1 species
GACGAACGCUGGCGGCGUGCCUAAUACAUGCAAGUCGAGCGGACUGAUUAAGAGCUUGCUCUUAUGACGUUAGCGGCGGACGGGUGAGUAACACGUGGGCAACCUGCCCUGUAGAUCGGGAUAACACCGAGAAAUCGGUGCUAAUACCGGGUAAUAUCUGAGAUCACAUGAUCUUAGGUUAAAAGAUGGCUCCGGCUAUCACUACAGGAUGGGCCCGCGGCGCAUUAGCUAGUUGGUAAGGUAAUGGCUUACCAAGGCGACGAUGCGUAGCCGACCUGGGAGGGUGGUCGGCCACACUGGGACUGGGACACGGCCCAGACUCCUACGGGAGGCAGCAGUAGGGAAUCUUCCGCAAUGGACGAAAGUCUGACGGAGCAACGCCGCGUGAGUGAUGAAGGGUUUCGGCUCGUAAAGCUCUGUUGUUAGGGAAGAAACAGUACCGAACGAACUAGGUCGGUACCUUGACGGUACCUAACCAGAAAGCCACGGCUAACUACGUG